UCGGUAGCCUAGUGGUCAUGGCCGCGGACUCGCGUUUCGUCGAGUGUUGGGUUCGAGCCCCACUGCAUCUAAA